rnacentral:rRNA from 1 species
GGAGGUUCGUGGUAGGAGAGCGUUCUAAGGGCGGUGAAGUCAGACCGGAAGGACUGGUGGAGCGCUUAGAAGUGAGAAUGCCGGUAUGAGUAGCGAAAGAAGGGUGAGAAUCCCUUCCACCGAAUAUCUAAGGUUUCCUGAGGAAGGCUCGUCCGCUCAGGGUUAGUCGGGACCUAAGCCGAGGCCGAUAGGCGUAGGCGAUGGACAACAGGUAGAGAUUCCUGUACCAGUGCUAAUUGUUUAACCGAUGGGGUGACACAGAAGGAUAGGGAAUCGCACGAAUGGAAAUGUGCGUCCAAGCAGUGAGUGUGAGAAGUAGGCAAAUCCGCUUCUCGCGAAGCAUGAGCUGUGAUGGGGAAGGAAAUAAAGUACGGAAGUUCCUGAUUUCACGCUGUCAAGAAAAGCCUCUAGGAAGAGUAGUACUGCCCGUACCGCAAACCGACACAGGUAGAUGAGGAGAGAAUCCUAAGGUGAGCGAGAGAACUCUCGUUAAGGAACUCGGCAAAAUGACCCCGUAACUUCGGGAGAAGGGGUGCUCUAUUAGGGUGCAAGCCCGAGAGAGCCGCAGUGAAUAGGCCCAGGCGACUGUUUAGCAAAAACACAGGUCUCUGCAAAACCGUAAGGUGACGUAUAGGGGCUGACGCCUGCCCGGUGCUGGAAGGUUAAGAGGAGUGCUUAGCUUCGGCGAAGGUACGAAUUGAAGCCCCAGUAAACGGCGGCCGUAACUAUAACGGUCCUAAGGUAGCGAAAUUCCUUGUCGGGUAAGUUCCGACCCGCACGAAAGGCGCAACGAUCUGGGCACUGUCUCAACGAGAGACUCGGUGAAAUUAUAGUACCUGUGAAGAUGCAGGUUACCCGCGACAGGACGGAAAGACCCCGUGGAGCUUUACUGCAACCUGAUAUGGAAUGUUUGUACCGCUUGUACAGGAUAGGUAGGAGCC